rnacentral:lncRNA from 1 species
CACAGCUAGAGCUGGCUCCGGGGCCGUUCUGGGCAGCAGACCCACCACCGAGGGCUCCGGAGCCCCAUCCCUGCCUCGUCAACCUCCAACAAACAGGCCCCGGGCCCUGUAAGUGCCCCCCUGCCAUGUAAAAACAACACCCUCCUGGGGAGCAGGCACUUCCUCUCCCUAAGGCCACAGGCCGUCUCUGCUCCAAGAACAGCCCAUAAAGGACGGGACUUGGUUAUUUAUUCCUGUCAUGUAAAGUGUAUUUGUUCCUAAUUAAUGAAAGCAAUAUGAACAUCAUGAUAUUUUAUUGUCAGCUGCAUGACGUGAGUGAGCCGUGGGCUCUUGUUAUCAUUCCCUGGCUUUUUGUUGUCCUGUCCCAGUUUGAAAGCUCAGGGAACUGCAGGGGCCAGGAGCCCUCGAGACCCUCCCAGAAUCCCUCAGUGAACAGAGCCCUGCCCUCUCUCAUCCCCUCACCUCUGUCUCCAGCUUUUCCUGACUUCUUGGCCCUGUUCUUCCUCCUCCCCAGAAGGAUGGAAGCUCUGGGGACACUCUGUUUUUAAUCUUUAUAUUUUGGGGGCUGAUGGGGCCUUUUUUUCCCCCUUUCUUAGGUUCCAAAGGUGUGAUUCAUGGAGGUAAGGAACUUCCUGAAGCUUCCCAGAGCAGAUCAGCUGCUGUUCCAAAAAUUAUCCAGGACACUGAGAAGGGAAGUCCUGUACCCAGGGUCCUAGGGCCAGGGGGUCAAAGAGCCUAGACUUGAACCCGGCUCCGCCUCACUGAGUCGAUCGCUCUGCUCUUCAACACAGCUGCCUCUCUGUGGGCACACAGCCGGUGCUAAUGAAGGCUCGUUGGGUAAAUGAAUGCUGGGGAUUGUUCUCAGUGGAUGACAAAGACCGCUCCUGCCGGCGCUUACACAUACUAACAGCUGGGGAAACCGAGGCCCAGAAAGAAGAGCACAGAGCCAGCAAGCGGCCGAUCAGUUCCUCUCCACAAAGCCGAAUAGCCAUCCCCGGGCUCCUUCCACUCCCCCAGCGGCCCCAGGGGAAGGCUGUGGGUGAUGUGACUCGGCCUCCGGCUCCCUGAGAACCAGACUCUUUCUAUUCCCUUUCCCUGGACUUGUCCCAGGCCCACUUAGAAAAGAACAGUCGGCCGGCAAGAAGAGGCCAGCGGGGGGCCGGGCCAGAGCAGUUGCUCUCACUGUUCGUUCUCCAGAGGCCUCUGACUGCCCCCUCCAGCCGUUCCCGCUGCCACACCCUGGCUCCCUCCCGGGGCCUCUGCUCUAUGGCACAUGGAGCAGAUCGCGGCCUUCCCUCCCUUAAAUGGGAACAUGGGAGUCCCUCGGCAGGAACGUAAAGCUGAGCAGCGCCCCGGGACUGCCUCCAGCUGCCGGCGCUCUCUCCCGGGCCAUGCUCCUUUGCCCUACUUUGGCUCGUGCUUGUUUGGAUUCUAAACAGAGACCGGAUGCCCUGUUCCCUCACAAGGGCUCCCCGGGCACGAUGGAUUAGGAAAAUUCCAGAAACCAAGACACUCCGCCAUGACCUGACUACAGGCCUGUCAGGAGAGAGCUCUCCUCCCCUCUGCCUCAGUUUCCAGCUCUGUAAAGUGCAUGUGACCGAGUGGCUCCUGGAGCUCCUGUGGCCUCCAAGGGCAAUACCAAGAGAAGGAGACAGAGGCUUGUGGGACAGCUCUCAGACAGGAUGGAACUUAGUCCAGAUGACCAGAGGCUUGAGUUCGAAUUUGCCAUCUGGGACUAGGAAGGUCCUCUGUUUCUCAGAGAGUUAGUGACCUCACCCAUGUGACCCAGAUGGUAAAGGGCAGAGCCCAGAUGCCCUGGGUCCUUUGAAGCCAAUGCUCUUUCUGUGAGCACCUUUGGCCUGUGCCACAGUCAGUAAAGAAACAUUUAUUAAUCACUUACUGUGUGUCAGACACUACGCUAAAGGUCAGGGAUAAAAAGGGAAAUCCAAAGCAAGCCCCGCUCCCAGGGAGCUGACCUUGUCACAGGGAAGACAGUGUCUAUACCUCCACAGUAUAUGGACAGGAGUAUUCGGAGUAGGCAUGAGCUGACCUCCGAGGGACAUGGACAAACAUGGCGGGCGGGGGAGACCAGCAAAGGCCUCGUGAACAAAGCAGUUCCUGCUGAAAGGUGUUUGGAAGAAAAGGGGGUUUAUACCGAGAGGGAACGUGUCCUGUUUGGGGCGUGUGGCGUUGGAGAUGUCUGUGGAACACUGUUUGCCAUUUCUGGCAGGCGCUCGGUGAUGGAGGCCCAGAGAAGGAGGCCCAAGGGCCAGCCCCGUCUCCGUCACUGAUCUCGGCAGCCCUCACAAAGCCUGGCCGUCUCCGACCGUCUCAAAGCCCCAUUUCUCGAUGCCCAGUGAGCCCCAAGCGUGUGGACGUGGCCAGGGUGGGAACGGAGGUGGGGAAUGACCAGGAAUAUUUAUUGUAAAGGCUGGGCUGGAGGAAGGUCAGAGGGAGAGAGAAUCAAUGCUUGUUAAUGGGGGAAAUCGAUUAAGAAUUCAAUUGACCAAACAUCUGAGUGUCCCUUAUGUCAGGGGUAGGGGAGAGUAGUGACUAGAGCUGAUCAUGUCUCGGGGCUGUGGGCCACCCACUAGCAAUUGCCGAGAAGUUCUGCUUUGCCUUGGUAAAGGGGGUUUGCUCCCCUGGGAGUGCCUCAGACCCAAUGGCUGCCCAGUUCCCACACCCUCUUGUCAAGGAACUCACAUCUAGGAACUGGGCAUGGAUGAGAAACAAAGAGCUUACUAAGUUGGGGUUCGUUGAAGACAGGACUUUUUGUUUAAAUCUCUUCAGCCUAAGAGUCGAGGACCGAACCUCGACCAGACCCGAAGGUUAGAAAUAUUGGUGGAACUGAACAAAUGUGUGAAAGGGCCCCCAAAAGGGAGCAAAAAAAAUGGCAGCAGAGCUCCAAGGAAGGAACAACUUUUCAUCCAGGUGCGAGGGGACGAUGUUAAUCAGAGUAUCCAUUAGCUGCUAUUGUCUACACAGUUCAAAUAUUGUUAUACCCAUUUUCGAGUCGAGGAAGCUGAGGCUGAAAGGUCCAGUCACUUGCCCAGGAUGACACAGAUGGUAAGUGUCCAAGUAGGGAUUCAGUCCGGGCCAUGCCGUGUGGUCUUUAUACCACAAUUCCUUGAAGGAUUCGGCAGCGUCGGAGCUGAGCACAAGCCACCAGAAUGGGGGGACUUGACUUGUCACCUCAGUGUUAACACUUCCCCUGUUCUCCUUCCACCUUCCUAUCCCAUAAUUGGAGACUCCGCCCAAAGCUCAGUCUUCUCUGUUCUUCUCUCCUUCCCUGGGAGGAUUGCUUUAUCUUGUGGCUUUUAUACAGCAAAUCUGCCCCACCCAUGGUCCCAUUUCCACUCAUAGUAUGUGGUAACUGGAGGCCCGUCUCCUCCUUUCCCUGAUAGAAUCAACAUCUGAUUGGCUAAAAUAAGCCAUGUUAUCUCCCCGCUCCCGGGCUGUUGUCCCUGGCACGGGGGACCCCUCCAAACAGGACUUCUCCUAUCUUGCCAAUGGCGUCAUCCAUUUCCCCACCUCUCCCUUUCCCGCUCUGGCUGAUGAAUUACCAUGAGAUCUCCCGGGUUCCUUUCCCUUCCCAGAUUUCUUUGACCCCAAGUGUUUAUGGGUCUGCCCCUUCCCUUUGUUUCCUGCUGCCCCCCACCCAUGUGUUCCCAGUCUCCUCUGCUCUCUGCAUCAGAACGGAUUAGCAGGAUUACCACAUCCACCUUCCCCUAACUCACACAACUUCCAGGAUAAACCACUGUUUGCAAUGUCCUCCGGAAUCUCAGAGGGGAAAUGCUGCUUCAGCUUCCAGAUCACGUGGGUCUGAGAGGACCCCUGGGCAUUUUCUCCCUUCCACAGCCUCAGCUCUAGAGACUCACUUAUAGGUCACAAAGAAGGAGACGCAGCAAAGUCCUCUUGUUUGUCCCCGUUUCUGCCUCCCUGCCCUGCAGUGUAUGGCUAAGAAUAGUCACAUUUAGUCAGAAUUCCGUUUCAAUUCCAGGUCCCUUGUCCACUCCAACCCAGUUGGUUCUUUGCCAGCCCCGUCUUCUGAGAGUGGCCUCGGCCUGCCUGGUUUCUGGGAAAGGCUGUGCCUCUCAUCCUGCCUGUGGGGAAGGGCCAGAUCCCUAUCUCCCUGGCUAGUGUUUAGGGCGAUCCUAUCUGAGGAGAGGAACCUGGGAUGGGCACCAUCUUGGGCCACUUGGAGGUUCUCUGCCCCAUGGAAAGGAAUUGCUAAGUGGGCCCUUGCGCCUGGGCUCGGAGCCCAGCUUCCUGCCAGUUUCGAAUUCUGGCUCAUGGCGGCCCCGCACAAUUGUGCAAACCGAGCAGAGGUGAGGGAGGUUGGGAAAAUCUGGCGGGGCAGGAGGCCGUGCUCUUCAACCCAGUUCAACGGGAGCAUUUAUUAUGUUGCUAGGUGAUGAGGCCACAAAGAGAGGAAACACAGUCCCUGACCUUACGGGCUGCUAUUCCCAGGAUGCCCCAUCUUAGCUCAGGGAAAACGGGCUCUGCUCCUGACCCCCUCCCGACAAGUCGCCCUUCUGCCUUCUUCCUGGACCAAAGUUAAGGUCUCUCACCGGGCUGAGUCGCCUGUUUUCCUGUCCCUCACUCACCCCUAUUCCUCCUUCCUCAGACACUGGGUCAACCAAGACUUGAAUCAAUCCAAUCCCUGUAACCCACGUGAUCUUCCCAUUGCUCACACCUACACCUCUCAUUGGCAAGGAGACCUCGAGCUACAGGGGGUGUCAGACAUCACGCAGUCCAAUCCACUCAGGUUACAGGUGAGGAAACUGAGGCUCGGGGCCCUCGGCAGCACAGCUCACCCCGCACUGGGUGGGCCAAAGAACCCACUUCCUGGCUCUGAAUUCCAAACUCUUUGCCCCCUGCCUCAAUAGGGAGCCAUUUUCUCACUCCUUCCUCCAUCUUGGGGAGAGAAACCCCUCCUCCAGCCUCUCGGGGAUGGUCCUUAAUCCUUUCCUGCCCCAGCUUUCCCUGGUUCCCUCCACUCCAUAUCAGAUUCCCCCAGUCUCUCUUAUCUUAAAACAACAAAGAAGUCUUUACUUGGCUUUGUAGCUGCCCCACUGCGCCCGCCCUCUGCCGAACUUCCUCGAUGGGUGGGCUAAGUCACAGACAGCUGCCAACAGUGGUUGGGAUCCACUCCCUCUCCCAGGAACACCUGCCUUCAGCAACCGCCUUUCCUGACAUGAAGGCCGCCUACUUUGGGCACACCCUCAGGUGCUCCCUUUCCCAAUGAAGUCGUGCUGAUUGUUUCUAACCCCAGGGGCCUGCGGGGGUUCCUCUGGGAGGUCUGAAACCAGCCCCAUAAUGCAACAGGAAAAGCCGAGGGGCUCCAGAAAGCAUGCUGUCCGGAGGACACGCCCGUCGCUGGAUGGACGAUGACAAGGGUCCAGAACCGCCGGGGAGAAGAGCCGGCUGGCGGCGGCUCAGAAAUCCUGCAGCCCGGGGACAUGUCCUAACAGAAAAGUCCUUCCUUUUGACACAGAUUCUCCCAGCAGCCCACUUAGCAUGGCUGAAAAUCCUAGACUAGCCGGCUCUCCAGAGCACCAACAGCACAAGGGACCAGGGACACAAAGAUGUGGUGGGUGAAGGAGGAGACGGGUUCUGACCAAAGAGGUGGUGUCCAAGGAGACCCACAAAAAGGAUGAUGGGAAAAGCCAGUGGGCUAGAGCAAGGGAGACAGGGCGGGAAGGAAAGAGGUAGCAGUCCCGGCUCAGACCCCAGCAAAGGUGUUCAGCGUGUCCCGUGUCCCGUGUCUGUCCCGUGGCUGUCCUCCAUGGAGAUUCUUGGGAGGAGAUAAGAUAAGAAUCAGAAUCCACAGAGGGAGAGGGAGCAGGUGCUAAUAACAAUAAUGAUGGCUCUUAAAGAGUACGGAAAGUUUGCAGAGCAUUUUACAACUAUCCCCUCAUUAACUUAAUGAAAUAUUAACUUUCACAAUGGAAGACAAGGGUUGUGAUCCCUAUUUGACAGAUGGGGAACCUGAGGCACAAAGUAGUGAAGUGACUUACCCAGGGCCACACAGCUAGUGAGUGUCUGAGAGCAGAUUUAAUGCUAGAUAGAAGUGGGCACACAAAGCCAUCUGCACCUGGUGCCUCCCCGGCUGGACGGGAAGCUCUGAGGGCAGGCCCGUGUACAGCCCAGGCCCCUGCACUUCCCACAAGGGAUGCACCAGGAAUAGUUCUUACUGAUUGGCUGCCUUGAAAGUAUUAUUAGUGAUUAGUUUUACACACACACACUCACACACACACACACACACAGCAGCUUGUCUCCUCAGCUACUUUGCAAGUAAAGUCCUUAUUAAAACCAAUCGCUGCUGUGGAUGUGGACACCCACACAGCCUACUUUCUGUACGGUAUCUCAUCAUCAUCAUCUAUACCUCGAGGUGACCCCGGGAGCAAAGGGCUCACAUUCGCUCCUUUUCCAGGUGAGGGGAGGCCGAAGAGCAGCUGAGCAGAAUCUGAGGGAGAACGGACUCCAGGGCUUUCUCUCUCUACCCACUGAACCACCCGGCCCCUCUAGCUUUGGGCCUCGGAUCUAACCCAUCUGGCAUUUGGUUUUCUCAGCCAGAAAAAGAAAGGGUCAGACUAGAAGACGUCCGAGGUCCUUCUGGUGCUAACUUCAUGUCUAACCGGGAGCCCGCCUCAGGCCCAGGGUGCCAGGCUUGUAACCUUGGCAGCAUAUCUGCCUCCUCCCUGCCCCUCAGCAGCCAAUCAGCGCCCGCCGCUCUGUCCCUGCUGAGCCCGCCCGGCCCAGGCCUCCAUCACCACCCGCCUCUGCUUCGCCGCCUGUGGGCCUCCCUCUCCCUCUCUUCCUCUUCUUUUGUACCUUUGCCAGGGGCCCACUCCUGCCCGGAUUGGGGAACUCCCUCUCCUCUCCUGGAAUCUUCUGAAGCUCCCAUUUGUUUAUCCAAAUAAAGGUCAAAUUCCUUCCAGCGUCCAAGACCUUUCCUAAACCAAACCCUCUGGAUUCCCCUGGGAGCCACACAGCGGCCGCUUUUAUCUCCCAGAACUGCCCCAUGUGGACUCUGGCCGAUCGUACGGAGCGGCUGCAUGUCCCCUCACAAUGCACUGAAAGCCUUGGCUCACAAGGUCCCUGAUGGCACAAAUGGCCGCGAACCUCAGCGAAGCCCAAAGCACUUAGAAGCGCUCUCUGUGGGCCGCCCCGGCUAAGCUGGGGAGGGGGGAGGACGAGAACAAUCUGCUCUCAAAGAGUCUCAUUCUAGUAAGCCUAAGGGAGUCUGAGUGAGUCCAAGUAAGUGUAAGUGAGUGACAGCAUAUGCAUAUGGAGGAAGGUACAAAAUCCGGGCCGAGGAGGUGCAAGGUUACCUUUGAGGGGCAGGCAGAAACAGCCGGGGAGGCCGGUAAAGGCCGAGGAGGCCAUCGUGCUGACUCUUGCAGGAAACAAUUCUAAGAAACUGAAAGGAAGGUGAAAAGGGAGAAAAUACCCAGCAAAGCUCACAGUUGGAGCAAAGGCCCGGAGGUGGGAGAUAAGCAGGGGCACCGCCCGGUGCUAGAAGAGCCAGCAAGGCAGGGAGGCCGGGUUGCAGCUGAGACCAGGAUAAGUCGGGGCAAGUGGGGAAGAGCUUCAAGGCCGGCCACUGCAGGCGGGAAGCCUAAUGGGUGACAAGGGAUUGAACAAGGCUGCUGGCUGUGUGAGGGGAGAGGGGACUUCGAGGAGAGAGGAUACGAAGGGCAAAAUGACAAGAUUUGGCAAAUGAUGGGACCACCCCGAUCUGGGAGCUGGAAGGUGACCUUGAGUCACAGAUGGCCUGGAGUUGUUAAAGGGACACAGGGAUGGAGGGGGCACAGAUUGGGAGACUGAGGGGAGAGAAGGAAGGGGGAGGGAGAGUAGUGAGAAUGUGAAGAGGUGGGGAAAGGGGGUAAGGGACGGCCCAGCCUGCCUGCUGCUGAACCAGCUGAGCGGGGCUAAGGAUCCUGGGUUCCACCCAGACCAGAAGGCCCACUUUUUGAAGCCAGGGAUCCCAUCUGGCCUCAGUUUUGUCCAUCUCCUCUGCCUAACUAGCAUCGCCCCUGGAACACGUUUGUGGUUCAGCACAGGGGGUGGGGGGGUGAUGUAAUCGACAUUAAUACCCAUUAAAUGAAUGGCCAAGCUGGAGGGCUCAUGGGUAGUGGCAGGCCUGGAGACAGAGGACCAGAAUUCAAAUCUGGCCUCAGACACUUACUGGCUGUGUGACCUUAGGCAAGUCACUGCACUCUGUUUGUCUCACUUUUCCUUGUCUGUAAAAUAAGCCGGAGAAGGAAGUGGCCACCACUCUUCCUUGUAUCUGGAUAAAGAGAUAUAAUGUAUCCAGACAGAGAAACACCACAAUGUAUCUGGAUAAAGAACCAUAGUGUGUCUGGAUACAGAAAUACAACUUCUACACAAGGUAAUUUUGCAGACAUGAGCAACGUGAGGGGCAGCGCCUGGAAAAGCUGGGGAAGGAGCCGGCUUCUGGGCUGAGCCUGGAAGGGAACUGGGGAGCAUGAGCAGCUGACAGCCGGAGAGGGAGGAUUCCAGGGCCACACAAAGGCCCACCGGGAGAGAUGUGAGAUGGGACCAUGCAGAGGAAACUGCCAGGAGGCCUUUUGGAAUAAACAGUCAGUGAUGGUGAGAAAUGGGGAGUGUGAAGGAUUUAAAAGUCCAACAAAGAAAUUUGUAUUUUGAGCUUGAGGCAGGAGAGAGCCCAGGAAGAUUCUUGAGCUGGAGAGUGACAGGAUAAAACCCACAUUUCUGGGAGCUUUGAUAGCGACUGUGAAAGAUGGAUUUGAGAGAAGGGAAAAGACUGGAGGCAAUAAUCCAGAGAAGAGAUAAGAGCCUGAGCUUGAGAGGGGAUUAAGUAGAAGGAAGGGAACAGAUCGGACUGUGGGGGAGGAAAGAUCACUCACUGGGAUUUCUGACUCCUUAGAUUUGGGAGGGAGGGAGGGAAGGGGAAGAGUCAGAGGUGACCCCAAGGUGGGCAAGCUGGUGCUCACAGAGCAAGGAUGGGAGAGCUUGGGAUGGAUUUGGAAGGGGAGUUUGGGGAACAUACAUGGGUGUGGCUCCUAGAGAUGAGAAACAGGGAAACUGAGUUGUGUCCCCCCCAGGAGGAGGAGGGAGAUCACCCAAGGGAGGUGGUGGUGAGGGACAACCUUGGCCCAGUCCCAAAGCGAGGUGCAUCCUGGGCCUAAGAAGGAGCUGGCCCAUGGGGACGUAGAGGAGGAGCCCGACAGAAAAAGUCCAGGGAGGAGAGGGGACACCUGGGGGACGGAGUUCUGUGGUCAACACAACUUUACCCUCUGAGGAGAAUGAGCUGGAACCUUAGACAGGGCCAUGCAGGGAGCUGAGGGGAGGACUCUCUAAGGUUUCCUACCCACUCCUUCCCCCCCCCCCCCCGCAAAGUUCCUGAGCCUCUCUCUCCCAGAUGUUGGGCCCAGGCCUGGCUGACUCCGACUCUUCCCAUACCCCUGAGGUGUUAAGGGAAAGGGGACAUUGAGCUUUGAGCUCCGGGAGUUUGGGAGAAAGCUGUGGGGCCCGGCCUGGGAUUCUUAACCUGGGGACUGUUUUAGAGAAGGAUUGAGAAAGUGGAUGGUGAUCUGAGUGAGGGAAGGGACAGCUGGAGCAGAGUGUUUGUUGUUGGGGAGGGGAAGCCUUUCCCAUUGGCCCUGGGUCCUCAAUGAGGUCCUAGGGUCCAGGGGAGUGCCACUGGUUAGAGCUGGCAUGGUAACUGCCGUCCUGACACCAGGGGUCCGUCCUAGAGGCCCAGGGGAGCUCCGCUGGUUGGAGCUGGCAGGGUGGCCACCACCUGAUACCAGGGGUCCGUCCUAGAGGCCCAGGGGAGCUCCGCUGGUUGGAGCUGGCAGGGUGGCCACCACCUGAUACCAGGGGUCCGUCCUAGAGGCCCUGAGGGGCUUCAUUGGCUCGAGCUGGCCUGGAGGCUGUCCUGGCUGAAGCCUGCCUGGAUCCUGUCUCUCCUAGUCCCUUCCAGGGCUACCCAGACUAGGAGCUUCCUGUCAUCUCCCAGGGGCAUGGCCCAGCAGGCCCAAUGAAAAGCGGGAAGGAGUGGGGGGGCUCUGGGAGGCCAUCCCACUUCCUGCAGGGGCUCCGGUUUCCAGCCCUCUCCCCAACUGGAACAAAGAGGAAUUCAAAGGCCUUUCUCAGCGGGCAGGGACAGGCCAAGCAUUCUUGGUAACUACGAUAAACACGGAGUGAUGGGAAUCUGAGAGGCCCUGGUACAAUGGGCGGCAGGAGCCACCCCCGCCCUCCCUGCCAGAGGAGCCCUUUAGGCUGAGAGCUCCGCUGGCUGCUGAGGGGCCUGUGAAGGCCCCAGGAGCCCCCGGGGCAGAGCUGGGCAGGGCUGGGCAGGGCCUAUCCCAGGGGACCCCAAGGACUCAGCAGGGCGGGAGUCGGGCCGCGAGGGGGCCGCCCCCACAGAAACUGGAGGGAGAGCAGAAAGGUUUCCGAACGAGCCCUGCCGGGCAGGGAGGGGCUUGGAAGCCUGGCAGCCGAUGGGACCCAGGAGGGAGGGUGAGGGUUUGAGGAGGGCCUGAUCCCGACUGGAAAACUUUCAGAGAGGUCAGAAGGGAUGGGCACGGAGGUCAGGAAGGGAGACUGACAGGCAGGCUGGAGGGGAGGGAGGCAGGGCCUUCACCACCCUCACCUCCCCGGGCCCAGGAGAAGAGACUUGCAGAGAAACCCAUUUACAGGGAAAGGCCUGGGCUUCUCAUCGGGGAAGUGUGGCCUGGCAUGGGAGGUCCCCAGAAUGGGGCCUGCUGGGCUGCCUUCUGCGCAUGCUCAGCUGUGGCCCUUAAAGAGCUUGCUGCUCCUGCUUGGUGGGGCGGGAGAGGUAGUGGGGGUGGGGCGGGAGGGGGGCAGGGGGGCCCUUCAGGAACCUGCGUCUGCCUGCCCACAAAGUAAAAGCCUGCCAUGGACCCAGAGUCCCAGACUCCUCCGGUGCUGCUUCUGCCUGUGAUCUGGGCCAAACCACUUGCCUUGCCUCAGUUUCCCCUAGAAAAGAAGGGACUUGGUUUCCAUGAUUCCCUUCUGUCCGGAAGCCCUGUUUAUCUGUAUCCCGGUUAGGGUGGGGGGAGGGAAGAAGCAAAAUCACUUGAAAUGCCAUUGGUCUCCAACUGUCCCAGACCUCUGACCCGCUGCCCUGGAGGAGGUCGGAGGCCCCGGCCAUUCAACCGCCCCCGCCUCACUUUUGGUACCCCACAGACACCCCCCCCUUACAGACAGCCCCUCCCCCCCAGCAAAGGCGGCUGGGGAGCCCGCGGGAGAGGUGGCAAAACCCCUGCACUUUCCUCAUCGUAAACGCGGGACACUCCGGGUCCCGGACUCCCGGGCACGCGCGGCCGCGGCCCCAGCCUCCCGGGCUCCCACAGACCUGAGCCUCCGGGGUCGGGCUCCAGGGGCGCCAUCCGGGCCAGCAGCCCCGGGCCCGCUCCGCCCCCGCGCGCGCGCCCCUUCCCCAGUCCAGCGCACACUCACCGCGGGGAGGAGGGGGGGGUCGCCGCGGGCCCGAGCGCCGGCCCCCGGCCCCGGCCCGGCCCCGGCCCCGGCCCGCCGACGGCUGCUCUCCCGGCACGACUCGGCAGGCCGGCGCCCUCCCGGAGCCCCCUCCCAGGGCCGGGGCCGAGAUCGGGGCCGCCCUUGGGCCGGCUGCAGGCGGGCACCGAUUUCUGCGGCUCUGACACUGCUCUGCCCGCGCCCCCCUCCCCCCAGUCCCGGCGCCGGGAGCUGCGGGCCGGAGGAGGGAGGGAGGGAGGGACGGACGGAGGGAGGACGCUGGCUGGGCUCAGCCGAGCUUCCCCAAUGGGGUGUGUUCUGCCUGGGAAGGGAGGGAGGUUGCCCCGCGCGGUGCCUGUGUGUGCGCGUGUGUGAACACAAGGGAAGUCACCGGUGGAGGGCUGCGUGGCCCCGGCCUCCACUUCUCC